rnacentral:rRNA from 1 species
AACGAACGCUGGCGGCAGGCUUAACACGUGCAAGUCGAACGCCCCGCAAGGGGAGUGGCAGACGGGUGAGUAACGCGUGGGAAUCUACCCAGAUCUACGGAACAACAGUUGGAAACGACUGCUAAUACCGUAUACGCCCUACGGGGGAAAGAUUUAUCGGAUUUGGAUGAGCCCGCGUUGGAUUAGCUAGUUGGUGGGGUAAUGGCCUACCAAGGCGACGAUCCAUAGCUGGUCUGAGAGGAUGAUCAGCCACACUGGGACUGAGACACGGCCCAGACUCCUACGGGAGGCAGCAGUGGGGAAUAUUGGACAAUGGGCGCAAGCCUGAUCCAGCCAUGCCGCGUGAGUGAUGAAGGCCUUAGGGUUGUAAAGCUCUUUCACCGAUGAAGAUAAUGACGGUAGUCGGAGAAGAAGCCCCGGCUAACUUCGUGCCAGCCGCCGCAGUAAUAC